GAUGAACGCUGGCGGCGUGCCUAAUACAUGCAAGUCGAGCGAACAGAUAAGGAGCUUGCGCCUUUGACGUUAGCGGCGGACGGGUGAGUAACACGUGGGUAACCUACCUAUAAGACUGGAAUAACUCCGGGAAACCGGGGCUAAUGCCGGAGAACAUUUAGAACCGCAGUGUUGUAUAGUGAGAGACGGUUUUGCUAUCACGUAUAGAUGGACCCGCGCCGGAUUAGCUAGUUGGUAAGGUAACGGCUUACCAAGGCAACGAGACGUAGCCGACCUCAGAGGCUGAUCGGCCACACUGGAACUGAGCCGCCGUCCAGACUCCUACGGUAGGCAGCAGUAGGCAAUCUUCCGCAGUGGUCGAAAGCCUGACGCAGCAACGCCGCGUGAGAGAUGACGGCCUUCGGAUCGUAAAACUCUGUUAUUAGGUAAAAACCAAUGUGUAAUUAACUGUGCACGUCUUGACGGUACCUAAUCAGAAAGCCACGGCUAACUACGUG
rnacentral:rRNA from 1 species